CUUGGUGAAUCGAAUGGGAGUCUUGUUUUUUGUUAAAUAGUGGAAAGAUAAAGUGAUAGCAAUAAGUUAGAACUUUACGCACACGCUCGCUUUAAUUCAGUACGUUUUCGUUUUUCGUCUUGGUGCUACAUCGGUGUAGUGCAAAAAAGAGAUUGACUGAUUAGACCCAAGUUUGAAUGACUGUAGCACCGAUUAUACCGGUGUAGUGCACUAUCAAAAACGAAAACGACAUUAAUUGUCUAUGAAGAAAAAUGUGUGGAAUUUUCAAAUGCUGCUGUGACUGCACCAAAAAAAUUGCAUGCUGCUGCUGUAAAUGUGCCUUACAAACAUUCUGCUGCAUCAUCGUAAUAGCGCUAAUAAUUGCACUAGCAAUCGCUCUAGGAGUUUAUUUCGGCGUCUUCCACAAUAGGGAAGACGGUGAGACAACGGCAAAAUCUGUCAGCCGUUUGCUAACGACAAUGCUUCCGAAAACAGAUGAUAACUUCGUAGGAAACUUAUAGCUGUGCAAUUAAUUAGGUUAAUUCUCGGUUUUUAAUAAACGGUAAACUGUAAACGCA